AGCGGCGCACGGGUGAGUAACACGUAGGUAACCUACCCUCGAGCCUGGGAUAACCUACCGAAAGGUGGGCUAAUACCGGAUAUGACCCCGGGAGUUCCGGCUCCUGCGGUGAAAGAUGGCCUCUGCUUGCAAGCCAUCGCUCGGGGAGGGGCCUGCGCGCCAUUAGCUAGUUGGUGGGGUAAUGGCCCACCAAGGCGAUGAUGGCUAGCUGGUCUGAGAGGAUGGCCAGCCACACUGGGACUGAAACACGGCCCAGACUCCUACGGGAGGCAGCAGUGGGGGAUAUUGCGCAAUGGGCGAAAGCCUGACGCAGCGACGCCGCGUGGGUGAUGAAGGCCUUCGGGUCGUAAAGCCCUGUCGAGGGGGAAGAACCGGUCGCGAUCGAAUAGGUCGCGGCCCCGACGGUACCCCUAAAGGAAGCACCGGCUAACUCCGUGCCAGCAGCCGCGGUAAUACGGAGGGUGCGAGCGUUGUUCGGAAUUACUGGGCGUAAAGCGCGUGUAGGCGGUCUGCUAAGUCUGAUGUGAAAGCCCGGGGCUCACCCUCGGAAGUGCAUUGGAAACUGACAGACUGGAGUCCCGGAGAGGAGGGUGGAAUUCCUGGUGUAGCGGUGAAAUGCGUAGAUAUCAGGAGGAACACCGGUGGCGAAGGCGGCCCUCUGGACGGUGACUGACGCUGAGACGCGAAAGCGUGGGGAGCAAACAGGAUUAGAUACCCUGGUAGUCCACGC
rnacentral:rRNA from 1 species